rnacentral:rRNA from 1 species
GACGAACGCUGGCGGCGUGCUUAACACAUGCAAGUCGAACGGAAAGGCCCUGCUUUUGUGGGGUGCUCGAGUGGCGAACGGGUGAGUAUCACGUGAGUAACCUGCCCUUGACUUUGGGGUAAAUUCAGGAAACUGGGGCUAAUAACGGAUAGGAGCUACUGCUGCAUGGUGGGGGUUGGAAAGUUUCGGCGGUUGGGGAUGGACUCGCGGCUUAUCCGCUUGUUGGUGGGGUAGUGGCUUACCAAGGCUUUGACGGGUAGCCGGCCUGAGCGGGUGACCGGCCACAUUGGGACUGAGAGACGGCCCAGACGCCUACGGGAGGCAGCAGUGGGGAAUAUUGCACAAUGGGCGGAAGCCAGAUGCAGCAACGCCGCGUGCGGGAUGACGGCCUUCGGGGUGUAAACCGCUUUCGCCUGUGACGAAGCGUGAGUGACGGUAAUGAGUAAAAAAGCACCGGCUAACUACGUG